rnacentral:tRNA from 1 species
AAUGUUGUGCCUGAAAAAAAGGAUUACUUUGAUAGAGUAAAUUAUGUGAUUAAACCUACAUUA